rnacentral:rRNA from 1 species
ACGUAGGGUGCGAGCGUUAAUCGGAAUUACUGGGCGUAAAGUGUGCGCAGGCGGCUGAGCAAGUCGAGUGUGAAAGCCCCGAGCUUAACUUGGGAAUUGCGCUCGAAACUACUUGGCUGGAGUGUGGUAGAGGGCAGUGGAAUUCCCGGUGUAGCAGUGAAAUGCGUAGAGAUCGGGAGGAACAUCUGUGGCGAAGGCGACUGCCUGGACCAGCACUGACACUGAGGCACGAAAGCGUGGGGAGCAAACAGGA